rnacentral:rRNA from 1 species
AUUGAACGCUGGCGGCAUGCCUUACACAUGCAAGUCGAACGGCAGCACGGGAGCUUGCUCCUGGUGGCGAGUGGCGAACGGGUGAGCAAUGCAUCGGAACGUGCCCUGAAGUGGGGGAUAACGUAGCGAAAGUUACGCUAAUACCGCAUAUUCUGUGAGCAGGAAAGCAGGGGAUCUUCGGACCUUGCGCUUUUGGAGCGGCCGAUGUCGGAUUAGCUAGUUGUGGGUAAGGCCCACCAAGGCGACGAUCCGUAGCGGGUCUGAGAGGAUGAUCCGCCACACUGGAACUGAGACACGGUCCAGACUCCUACGGGAGGCAGCAGUGGGGAAUUUUGGACAAUGGGCGCAAGCCUGAUCCAGCCAUGCCGCGUGAGUGAAGAAGGCCUCGG